UGUUGGCUAGGGCUGGUCUCCAACUCCUGACCUCGUGAUCCGCCCCCCAAGGCCUCCUAAAGAGCUGGGAUUACAGGCGAGAGCCACCGCACCUGCCCUCUGAAGUUAUUUUCUUCCAUCAUGAUGUGAUGUCAUAGGAUCUAAGGAAAGAAGCAGAAGGAGAGGUAGAAAAGGGAAAUGGAGACCUUACCCAAGAUCAAGAAGCUGUGAAAUGACAGAGAUAUUCAUGUCUAAAAAUCAAAGGACAGAAGAUAGGAGACGUGACCAGGAAAAGCUGUUACCAAGAAAUGUGUUCUCAGUGUCAGAACUCAAUGGGCAUGUAGAUUGGAUGGACCAAUGAUGGGCCAACAGGCAGACU